UACGGAGGGUGCAGGCGUUAAUCGGAAUUACUGGGCGUAAAGCGUGCGUAGGUGGUUCGUUAAGUCUGAUGUGAAAGCCCCGGGCUCAACCUGGGAACUGCAUUGGAUACUGGCGAGCUGGAGUGCGGUAGAGGGUGGCGGAAUUCCCGGUGUAGCAGUGAAAUGCGUAGAUAUCGGGAGGAACAUCAGUGGCGAAGGCGGCCUCCUGGACCAGCACUGACACUGAGGCACGAAAGCGUGGGGAGCAAACAGG
rnacentral:rRNA from 1 species